GAUGAACGCUGGCGGCGUGCCUAAUACAUGCAAGUCGAGCGAACAGACGAGGAGCUUGCUCCUCUGACGUUAGCGGCGGACGGGUGAGUAACACGUGGAUAACCUACCUCUAAGUCUGGGAUAACUUCGGGAAACCGGAGCUAAUACCGGAUAAUAUAUUGAACCGCAUGGUUCAAUAGUGAAAGACGGUUUUGCUGUCACUUAUAGAUGGAUCCGCGCCGCAUUAGCUAGUUGGUAAGGUAACGGCUUACCAAGGCAACGAUGCGUAGCCGACCUGAGAGGGUGAUCGGCCACACUGGAACUGAGACACGGUCCAGACUCCUACGGGAGGCAGCAGUGGGGAAUCUUCCGCAAUGGGCGAAAGCCUGACGGAGCAACGCCGCGUGGGUGAUGAAGGUCUUCGGAUCGUAAAACUCUGUUAUUAGGGAAGAACAAAUGUGGAAGUAACUAUGCACGUCUUGACGGUACCUAAUCAGAAAGCCACGGCUAACUACGUG
rnacentral:rRNA from 1 species